rnacentral:rRNA from 1 species
AUUGAACGCUGGCGGUAUGCUUAAGACAUGCAAGUCGUGCGGUAGGGGCUUCGGCCCUGAGAGCGGCGGACGGGUGAGUAACGCGUGGGAAUCUGCCUGCUAGUGGGGGAUAGCCCGGAGAAAUCCGGAUUAAUACCGCAUACGUCCUAAGGGGGAAAGCCGCAAGGCGCUAGUAGAUGAGCUCGCGUAAGAUUAGCUAGUUGGUGAGGUAAAGGCUCACCAAGGCGACGAUCUUUAGCUGGUCUGAGAGGAUGGCCAGCCACAUCGGGACUGAGACACGGCCCGGACUCCUACGGGAGGCAGCAGUCGGGAAUAUUGGACAAUGGGCGCACGCCUGAUCCAGCAAUACCGCGUGUGUGAAGAAGGCCUGCGGGUUGUAAAGCACUUUCAGUUGGGAAGAUAAUGACGUUACCAACAGAAGAAGCACCGGCUAACUCCGUG